rnacentral:rRNA from 1 species
GACAGAGGUGCCAAGCGUUAGGCGGAAUCACUGGGCUUAAAGCGUGUGUAGGCGGAUUGGUAAGUACCUUGUGAAAUCCCACGGCUCAACCGUGGAACUGCUGGGUAUACUGCCUGAUCUUGAGCCAUUCAGAGGCGAGCGGAACAAAUGGUGGAGCGGUGAAAUGCGUAGAUAUCAUUUGGAACGCCUAAGGUGAAAACAGCUCGCUGGGGAUGCGCUGACGCUGAGACACGAAAGCCAGGGGAGCAAACGGG